GACGAACGCUGGCGGCGUGCUUAACACAUGCAAGUCGAACGGAAAGGCCCUGCUUUUGUGGGGUGCUCGAGUGGCGAACGGGUGAGUAACACGUGAGUAACCUGCCCUUGACUUUGGGAUAACUUCAGGAAACUGGGGCUAAUACCGGAUAGGAGCUCCUGCUGCAUGGUGGGGGUUGGAAAGUUUCGGCGGUUGGGGAUGGACUCGCGGCUUAUCAGCUUGUUGGUGGGGUAGUGGCUUACCAAGGCUUUGACGGGUAGCCGGCCUGAGAGGGUGACCGGCCACAUUGGGACUGAGAUACGGCCCAGACUCCUACGGGAGGCAACAGUGGGAAAUAUUGCACAAUGGGCGGAAGCCUGAUACAACGACGCCGCGUGCGGGAUGACGGCCUUCGGGUUGUAAACCGCUUUCGCCUGUGACGAAGCGUGAGUGACGGUAAUGGAUAAAGAAGCACCGGCUAACUACGUG
rnacentral:rRNA from 1 species